UUUUUUUCAAGCUACAGUGUUUGAGCUUGUUAUAUCUAGACAAAUUAGGAGCGUUACGACGCUAAAACUGGACAUUUUUUUCUGUUGUUUGUACUUAUUACUGCAGUACAACAGACACAGGAAUUAGAAAAGUUCCUUCUGGCUACCAAAGAACAAACUUACACGCCUUCUCAUAUUUCAGAGCACAUCUGCUGUCAGAAUUGUAACAAACUACUACAAAAAAUGAUCACAUUGGAAGUUUCCUGAGCUUUUUUAUUGUAGUUUAAGAACCAGCAUUCCUGCGCUGCACGAGGAGUAUCAGAGUGUGGGAGUGCUGACAGCAGGCAGCUGGGGGCUUUAAUGGAGCAGUGGGCAGUGGAGACACACAGAGCUGGCCCAGCGGAACAUGUGGAUGGAGGCACUAAUGUGAGAACAACAAGCAAUAGGUCUGCAAUGGAGCUAAACACAAAUGUCGUGCUAACGUACAGCUCUGCAGUCUAAUCCUCCACCCCCGCUAGCACAGCCCAUCCUGCUAAAGCUAAUGCUAAAGCUGCUGCUCAGAGACCAUAGCACAAAGCCAGAGCAGAUUAUCGGUCCCAGUUACUUCAUUUGCAGAACAGAUUUGAAACACUGCAACACUACAUUCUAGUUUCCUAGAAAGAACCGGAAGUAUCAGUCAAUCAGAGCCUCCCAGUAGAGCCACAGGGCCCCAGUCUGUGGCCACAGCACUCUUGUUUUUGGGGAUGACUCUUUUAGUGCCAGGAAAAACCAAAAAGUCAUAGUUCAAUGUGCACCAAACACCACAGUCUGCAAACUGAAAGAAAACCUGCUUUACUGUCUGAAUAAACAACAGUGAAGCAGAUCAUUGUUGAUGUUGGUAACAAUGACAAGAGGAAGCAUUAAAAAGGGACUUUAACACAUUCAGCAAGCCCAACCUGCAGCCAUUUAUCAGUGUUCCUCUGCCUGCACGGAGAACCAAUACGUUCUCAAAGCUUCUUGGAUUAAACACUUGGCUCCAUAAAAGCUGCAGGUCAAACAGGCUGAAGUUUACUGACAACUUUAACCUGUUUUUUAGGAAGAGAGAGGUUUUUUAGGGUGAGAUGGACUACAGACCAACAAGAGGGGAGUCAGAUCUCUGACAGAGAACCUCAUUUUCUCCAGGUGGAGACACAUCAGCACCAACAGCCCAAGAACUCUAUCACUCCAGAGCCACAACAUCCUCCCCUCACUGAGAACACACUGACAGAGCUGCAUUUUUUGGAUGAGAACCUUCAUAAUGUUCUACCGUUUCAGCUGCUGGAGACACUAAAUCCACAUGAGCAGUCCACACUAUCCUCCAUCCCCACCCCCACUUCACCCAACCUGAACCUCCCAGCCCAAAAUCAGCCCAAAUUCUCCCCCAUCUUCAUCUACUGGCUCAUCUCCACUUCCGUCCCCCAGACUUUCUAAGAAGAGUCACCAACUGUAGCAAUUCAAAGAAAGAGAAGUUCCUCAACUACCGGAAAGGCAGAGCUCCACCCACAUCGCACUGUUUUAUGUUUUCUUUUAGCUCUGUCUCGUCUGUAAUUGUCUGACCUAAGGCUGUUACGCUGAUAUGGCAGCUGCAGUUUUCAUUUUUCUUUCUUUCAUGAAUUUUUAUUUUUACACUUGGGGUGACCCUUCUGUGGAACUCUUGGUGGUUCCCAAUGAUGGGAAAUCAGAACUUCAGCAACUUUUGUGUACUGGAACUGGAUCUAAGCCGGAGAUCAAAUGGCUCUCCAAAUCUGGGACUAGAACUGGUGCCUCUAGUAAAUUCGUGCCCCAAGCAGAUGGACGCGUGAAAGUGUCCAGUGAGAUAGAAGUGGCGCUGGAAGAGUGGAACAAAGGGGAGGAAUUUACCUGCCAGGUCACUGAUCUUCAGAAAACAGUGGAGAAGAGAACCAGUGUUUGUGCAGCUCAUCCAUCAGUUGCACCACCAAUACGCCUGGAGAAACCUCGCCUCUUCAAUCCGUCUCUACAGCCACAUUCAGCAGUAACAGCUUCCUGUGUUGCUGAAGCUGCGCCCAACUCCAGAGUUUCAUGGGUUUUGAGUGGAAACAUAGAGAAGAAAGCCAGUAAAGAGAUGACAGAGGAGCGACUCAGCAGCAACACUCGGCUCUUUGUAAGCAAACUGACUCUGCCAGCAAGAGAAUGGGAACAAUAUCAGAAUGUAACAUGCAGAGUUAAACAGCCAUGUGAUGAUCUACCUGAGGAGAAAACUGUUAAUGUUCUAGAAAUCUCUCCACCAACUAUCCAUCUGCUGGAAUUUGGCCACUCCAUAAUGUGUAUCCUUGAGGACUUCUACCCAAAGGCCCUCAGUAUUAAAUGGAAAAAGAAUGACCGUGAAGUCAGAGGUCGAGACUGGAUAACCACAGAAAAUGACUCGGGUUCUUACAGAGCGGUCAGUGUCCUCGAUGCAGAUCUGAAGUCUUCAAGCCCGGGAACCAAAUACACCUGUGAAGCCACACACGGGGGCAGAACAUACACAGAAUGUCUGUCGUGUAGAGCUCAGUUCUCUCUGAAAAUCUAUCCACCACAAGCAAAGGACCUGUUUAUAAACAAAAAAGCAGUAAUCGAGUGUGUCAUAACUGGUGAUAAUAGGAAGGAGGUGGAAGGAGCAACAGUGUCAUGGACAGUUGGAGGUCGGAGCCCAGCAACUCGUGAUGUUCGUGUUGGUGGUGUUACACAGACAAGAUCAUCAUUUACCAAAACUAGCACACUGACCCUUGAAGAGUCCGUCUGGUUUUCAGGUAGUGAAGUGAUUUGCUCCACCUCAAGAGACCAAACAACAAUCUCUGACAGAAUUCGUGUUAAAAAAGGAGGCGAAACCCCCUCUGUUAUCAUUUACAAGCCUCAAAAGUCUGUCCUUGUCACUGAUAUGGUGUCCCUGAUAUGUGAGGUCAGCAGCUCUGAUCUCGGGGAUGUGUUCAUCAUGUGGCAAGUAAAUGGUGGACAGUACAUAGAAGGCAACAGCAUGACCAGCAUCAAAAAGGACAACACACUGACCGUCUUCAGCUACUUAACCGUGCCUGGACUGCAGUACAACAGUGCAGAAUUCACUUGUGCAGUCAAACAUGCCAACAUGGAGAACAGCAACACACUGACAACAAGGACAACAUCCAUGCGUAAAGCAAACUGCCAGGCACCUGCAAUAAUGAGUAUUAGAGUUAAAUUGUAAAAUCUGUCCUAACACUUUACACACUGGCCUCUCCAUAUGUCCUGGCUGGACAUUGCUCUGCUCUGUCUUUUGCUUUCUCUGUUUUUGUUCAUAAUCUGCUUGUGUUCAUUGCAAU